CAGAUGCUUGUACACACUCGUUACUAAAUAAUACUACGAAGCUUGUUAAUAGUAUUUUGAAAGCCUUUGCAAUCUGUUUUUUUCCUCCUUAAAAUGGGUCAUCGUCAUAAGCAUUUUGGAUAUCAUACGCAGGAUAGGUUACAAUACGGCUAGUUUGGUGCUGUGUUGUCGUUCCCCCUGCAAACAAAAACCUGUUUUCAGCUAUCCCUGUCUGUCCAAACCUACUGAUGGCCAAGGGACGCAAGAUUUCAGACAUAUUGUAGUAGAGUUGUGGUUGGACUGUAACAUUUUGGUUUAGGGCAAAACUGUAAUGCUUCUGGAAUGAUUUA